rnacentral:rRNA from 1 species
AGAGUUUGAUCAUGGCUCAGGGUGAACGCUGGCGGCGUGCCUAACACAUGCAAGUCGAGCGGUGCAGUUUGAAGCUUCGGUGGAGAGCUGCAUAGCGGCGGACGGGUGAGGAAAACGUAGGAACGUGCCCCUUGGAGUUGGAUAGCCACGGGAAACUGUGGGUAAACCGACAUAGACUCGAGAGAGUAAAGGCCGAAAGGCGCCAAGGGAGCGGCCUGCGGCCCAUCAGGUAGUUGGUAGUGUAAAGGACUACCAAGCCGACGACGGGUAGCCGGUCUGAGAGGAUGGCCGGCCACAAGGGCACUGAGAGACGGGCCCUACUCCUACGGGAGGCAGCAGUGGGGGAUUUUGGACAAUGGGCGAAAGCCUGAUCCAGCGACGCCGCGUGGAGGACGAAGCCCUUCGGGGUGUAAACUCCUUUUCUCAGGGAAAAAAGAUGAUGGUACCUGAGGAAUAAGCCCCGGCUAACUACGUGCCAGCAGCCGCGGUAAUACGUAGGGGGCAAGCGUUACCCGGAAUUACUGGGCGUAAAGGGUGCGUAGGCGGCCUUGCAAGUCCGGUGUUAAAAGCCCUGGCUCAACUAGGGAGAUGCGCUGGAAACUGUAAGGCUUGGGUGCAGCAGAGGCAGAUGGAACUGCUGGUGUAGGGGUGAAAUCCGUAGAUAUCAGCAGGAACGCCGGUGGAGAAGUCGGUCUGCUGGGCUGUGACCGACGCUGAGGCACGAAAGCUAGGGGAGCAAACCGGAUUAGAUACCCGGGUAGUCCUAGCCGUAAACGAUGCUCACUUGGUGUGGGGGCAUAGAGCCUCUGUGCUGAAGCGAACGCGUUAAGUGAGCCGCCUGGGGAGUAUGCCCGCAAGGUGAAACUCAAUGAAUUGACGG